UGCAUCCUUAUUAAUACUUUAAAUAUUUAGUUGCUACAAAAUAUAUAAAUUUUAGUUUCGCAAUAUAGGAUACAAAAGGUCAUUUAUUGCAAAUCUUUUGUUUGGUUUUUUGCAGAUUUGAUUGGCCGUGUUGUUUUCAUUAGUGAGCAAAAAGUUGUCCAAGUUAAUUCAAAUCCUCAAAGGUUGAUUGAUUUUGUCAUUGAAGACUCUCGGGGUAGUCGGCUCACUGUUACUCUAUGGGAGGAGCACGUGGAUUCUGUCUU